rnacentral:SRP_RNA from 1 species
AUAAUUAACUUGCGCAAUAGUUAUGUUAUGAACUGGUCAGGAUCGGAAGAUAGCAGCCAAGAUAGCCUCUAAUUAUGUGCGCUUUUUUUAUGAGGUGU